GCAAGACACAGGUGUUUAUUGAAUCCAGGCCCAGCCUGGCCUACAGCUCAGAAUGAAGGGCUCAGGGAAGACAGAGGUUAUAAAACUGCUUUAAUGGAAAGCCCCCCCUCCCCCCAAUACACCAUCUGGGAUGGGGUAGAUGUGGCCAGGGCUGGCCCCAAGACAAUACUGAGCCUGUAGUCUGUUACCAAAAUAUACAUCUGUCACCAUAAAAAACUGCUGCACCGCCUCAGCCCCACAGGUAUAAAAUCAUAAAUAUUUACACUCUUCCACGCCUUUCACAGAACCAGGGUGCAGGGAACCCCUCCCAUAGAAACAGGCUAGGAUGGAGGCGGGCAGAAAACAAAACUUUGGUCCAAAAUUUUGAAGGUAGAAACCCACAAGUCUCAGAGCUUUUUUUCCAGCCCUGGCCUGGGCCCACCUGCAAGUUGGUCA
rnacentral:lncRNA from 1 species